CGGCCAUAGUGGGUGAUAGCCCUGUACGCGAAAAGGUCUUAGAAGUGAAAUCGAGUAGGACGGAGCACGAGAAACUUUGUCUGAAUAUGGGGGGACCAUCCUCCAAGGCUAAAUACUCCUGACUGACCGAUAGUGAACCAGUACCGUGAGGGAAAGGCGAAAAGAACCCCUGUGAGGGGAGUGAAAUAGAUCCUGAAACCGUGUGCGUACAAGCAGUAG
rnacentral:rRNA from 12 species